rnacentral:tRNA from 1 species
GCUGGCGUAGCUCAAUGGUAGAGCUCCUCACUUGUAAUGAGGAGGUUGGGGGUUCGAGUCCUCUCGCCAGCUCCA